AAAAGUUCGUUAGCAUUAACAUCUUCUCCACCAAUAGCAGCUGCAAGCUCAUGGGCUUCUCCAUUUACUCCUCCACCAUCUCCAACUUCAAAGUCAUCAAUUCCAUUUUCUACAAUGCCAGAGGUACUUUUAAACCCUUCAAUCCAGUCACUUUUGGAACCUUUUAUACCAUAGUAGUUAGCAUUCUUGUUUUCCAUAUGCACAGGAACUGUAUCAUAAUCAGUAGGGCUUUCCCCAACUUUUAACUGAAAGUCACCUAAAUCAGGUCCCUUGGAGCUCGUAUAGAUACAGUCAACAGAAUUCUUGCCAUAAAUCCCUCCUGUUUCUGUGAAGAAUUUGCAAUUGUGGGCUGAACUACCGUCCCUAUCAAUGUCUCCUUCAAGCUGGUUUUUUUUAUCAAAAUCAUGAUGAUAAUUCAUAGAUAGAGCCUCGUUUUUAUUAUUCACAGAUGUGACAUUGUAAAGACACUGCUUAUCCAAGUAAUCGAUGUUUCCUUGUGUUUCACCUUCAG
rnacentral:lncRNA from 1 species